CUGUUUGCUUCUCUCAGACAGUGUUGCAGGGUUAGGUCAGCGAAGCGGGAGAGCAAGUGGAGUGCCUCUUCUACAAUCGGCCGAAGCUCCCACAUGGGUGAUCUGCCAUUGCGCACAGCUUCAACAAGGGGAAAGCAGUCUGUUUCAAUCACCAGAGUGGUGUUAUGGAGUUGUCUUCGCAGCAGAUGGUGCAGUGUACAGGUUAGUGCGUUGAGUUCAGUUUCCAGCGCCGAGUGCGACCAAAAUUUGCUAGAAAAUCCGUCCAUAAGCCUCCCACGAUGAUCUCUAUAGACACAGGCCAUCGUGCCCUUGGUGCUGCCCGGCUAAAAAGCUCCAUCUAUGUUAUAUUUCAGAGUGCCAGAGUCUGGAGGAUGCCACAGAUGCGCGGGAUUGAGGUGCGGAAUCCUGGAUCUCGAUCCAGCAACAGCAGGGGAAAGGAGUGAUCGGGUCUGAGUGAUGGCCAUGUCAACUACCCAUCACGGAUCUGGUGUCUGGUUGCGGAAGACUACAUCAUUGCGCAUUCUCCAAAUCUGCCAUAGUGUAUUGGCAGUGAGCUCGAGACCGGCAUGCAGCAAGGGUCAGAGGCGAUGUGUCGAUUAAAGAGGUUGGCCCUUGUCGCAAUUGCAUUUUGACACACAGCCCAGGUAAAUACUCUUAUUUUUGGCGCAGUUUGCAUUGACCAUAUUCGCCGCCAUAGGAUUUUAGGAUUCUGAUAUGAUGUAGAUGCUCUAUUACUGUUGGCAAUUCUUACUGUCUGACUAAUGUUAUGGUAGCAACUCUUGACUGUGUAUUCUCCAUUCUUCGUUGCUGUCCAAAUGAGGCGAUCUUCAAUAGGUAGAUGUCUGAUAGGUAGUUUGACGAUCUGAUGUGUAAUCUCUUCUCCGAAAAGAGGGAGAAGAAUAGGUUGUUUCCAAGUUUGGUUGAUAGGAUCAAUGAGAUUCGCCACCAAGACUGGAUCAUCUUUGUUGGGAGGUCCAUGGAGAAUGCCCAUAGGUAACCAGCGAUCACCUCUAAUUUUGAUUGCCUGACUGUCGCCCACAGACCAGCAUAGAUGCGGAUAGAUGGCAUCCCUUCCCUGUAGGAGACUCUUCCAUCCCCAUGACGAGCGAGCUGCUGGAUGUAUAGAGAGGAAACUUUGUGUAGGAAAAUACAAACCCUUGAACAAUUUACUCCACAACGCCAAAGGUUGUUGCAAUAAUCGCCAGGCCUGUUUGCCGAUCAGAGCUUCGUUAAAUGCGAUUAAAUCCCGAAAGCCUAAGCCACCAUAAUCUUUGCUUGCUUUCAACAGAUCCCAUUUUUGCCAAUGAAUGCCUUUUCUGUUCUGAUCAUUCUUCCACCAGAAACUUGCAAUGCUUUUCUCUAUAGAUUUUUAUAUCGACAAAGGAAUUUUAAAAAUAGACAUAGCAUAGUGGGGUAGCGCUUGCACGACAGAUUUGAUAAGAACUUCCUUUCCACCUUUGGAUAUGAGCUUACCCUUCCAUCCCUCCAACUUGUUAUGGACCCGUGCUAUUAUCCAUGAUAACAUUUCCCUUUUUGAUCGUCCCCAAUCAGAAGGUAAGCCCAGAUAUUUGCCACAUCUAGUUAACACCGGUAUUCUUAGCUCACCUGACAUAUUAUCUUGCAAUCUAAGGGGGUAGUGAUUACUAAAAAUAAUGCCUGACUUGUUACGAUUCACUACUUGACCCGUUGCUAGACAAUACUGGUUUAUGAUAGCCGCCAGGUUCUGACAUUCCCUUGUAGUCCACUCUAGGAAGAAUAUAGCAUCGUCGGCAAAAAAUAGGUGGGAUAGGGUAGGACACCAUCGAUUGAACUUAAUACCUUUAAUGUGUCCGAUACUGACAACUUGGUUAAUUAAGGUCGAUAAUACAUUGGCCAUCAAAAUAAACAAGUAUGGAGAUAAAGGAUCACCUUGUCUUAGGCCUCGUGUAGCGGAAAAAUAAGGAAGGGGCUCGCCAUUGAAUUUGAUACUGAAGGAAGUAGUGGAGACACACUGCAUGAUCCAUCGGACCCAUGUAGGAUGGAAGCCCAAUUUAAGGAGGUAGUCCUGUAGGAAAUCCCAUUCAACUCUAUCGUAUGCCUUUUGCAUGUCUAUCUUUAGGAUUGCAUUGAAUUUCCAUUUUCUCUUUCUGGUCUUGAACUGGUGAAGAACUUCCUGCACAAUCAAGAUAUUAUCUUGGAUCUGACGCCCACUGACAAAGGCUAACUGUUCCAUUGAGAUGAGAGAGUCCAACCAAUGUUUAAGGCGGUUGGCAAGCAACUUGGAGAUAAUUUUAUAUGCGAAAUUGCAUAGGCUAAUGGGACGAUAUUGCUCUAGCUUUUCAGGAUUUGGUGUUUUAGGAAUCAACGUGAGAAAAGUUUGAUUUAGGGUAGGAGGCAUAAUGCUUGUCAGAAAGAAGUGCUGGACCUGAAGCAAGAGAUCAUCUUUAAUAAUAUCCCAGUGAGUUUGAUAAAACAAGCCACUAAGUCCAUCAGGGCCAGGGGCCUUUGUUGUUCCUAACUGGAAUAUGGCCUGUCUGAUCUCUUCCAAAGUAGGCAUUGCGAUCAAUUGGUCGUUCAUUUCAGUACUUAGUAGUGGCGGACACUGUGCAAGAAUAGGACCGUAAUCUCGUGUCCCCUAAGUCGUAUAUAACUUCGAGAAAAAAGUUGUCGUCAUACCUUGUAGGGCUUUAGGGUCACGAAUCCAUUGCUGGUUCUCAUCUUGUAAAAUGGUAAUACAAUUUCGAUGUCUUCUUUGGAUUGUAGAUGCAUGAAAGAACCGAGUAUUCUUGUCUCCCUAUUUCAACCACUGUACUCUUGAUCUUAUUGCCCAAUACUGUUCUUCCUUCUGCCAAGUUCUUGUAAUUUCGUCUAUGAUUUUGGAGGCUUCCUCCUUGUGAUAAUUUAAGUGUUGUUGAUUCGUCAGGUCUUGUAGUUGGUGUUGUAAUGUAAUGACUCUGGCACAUCCAUUUGAGAAUUUAGUACGACUCCAUGUAGAUAGAGCGGUGCUGACAUGCUUCAACUUGGAAAGAAAAACUGGAUGCGUGGGAUGUAUAGAAGUCCAUGAUGUAGAAAUAAUGUCGCGACAUUCAAUAUCAUCGUUCCAGUAGGCUUCAUAAAUGAAAGAUUUCUUCUUCCUCUUGAA